rnacentral:lncRNA from 1 species
UGAAACGCUUUAUGCAAGAGUAAGGUCUAUUAGAUUUUGACCACUCAGCGCUCACUAUUUGUUUAAUAAUUUGACUUAUUAAACAGUAGCUAACUAACUUCAUUAGUUGCUAUAACUUUUCAGACGCACGCAUUCCCUUUUUGUCCUUACUAUUUUCACACUUAGUAAUGUACAAUGUCAUGACAUUCUGGGUGACAUUGUACUCUGUC